AUAGCGGCCGCAAUAGCGGUAGCGGCCUAUUGCCGCUAUCGCUACUAGGUAGCGGUCGGGCUGUUGCGGUUUGGAACUUUGCGGCCGCAAUUGCGCUAUAGCGGGCCGCAAUAGCGGUGGUAGCAGGCCGCAAUAGCGUGGAAAAAAAUCCUAAUAGCCCAGCCCACCAGUGGACCCCCAUCGGCCAUUCGGCCUCGCCAUCCAG
rnacentral:lncRNA from 1 species